GACGGCGGGAAAGAAGGGUAAAAUACGGGACUUUCCCGGCCAAAACGGGAUACUUGACAGGUAUGGUUUGAAGGUCAGAGUAGGAAUAAAAA